GCCCAGACUCCUACGGGAGGCAGCAGUGGGGAAUAUUGCACAAUGGGGGAAACCCUGAUGCAGCGACGCCGCGUGAGCGAUGAAGUAUUUCGGUAUGUAAAGCUCUAUCAGCAGGGAAGAAAAUGACGGUACCUGACUAAGAAGCCCCGGCUAACUACGUGCCAGCAGCCGCGGUAAUACGUAGGGGGCAAGCGUUAUCUGGAUUUACUGGGUGUAAAGGGAGCGUAGACGGCAAUGCAAGCCAGAUGUGAAAGCCCGGGGCUCAACCCCGGGACUGCAUUUGGAACUGUGUAGCUGGAGUGUCGGAGAGGCAGGCGGAAUUCCUAGUGUAGCGGUGAAAUGCGUAGAUAUUAGGAGGAACACCAGUGGCGAAGGCGGCCUGCUGGACGAUGACUGACGUUGAGGCUCGAAAGCGUGGGGAGCAAACAGGAUUAGAUACCCUCGUAG
rnacentral:rRNA from 1 species